GCCUCCAUAGCUCAGGGGUUAGAGCGUCAUGCUUGUAAGCCAAUCGCUAGGAGACAUGAAAGUCCAUGGUUCAAAUCCGUGUGGAGGCU
rnacentral:tRNA from 1 species